CUUGCGGCCACGCAAGAGUGAACGACGCCGCGCAUGCGCAGAGUGUUUCCGUUGACGCUAUCUCGAACAGGAAUAGCGUGAGUCUGCGGCGUCAGUGCCACAUGGCAAGACCGGCUUCUCACCAAAAUAGUGGCGAUGGAGACCACCAGGCAGAGGUGUUGGGGGCUACAUGUAGUGCUGCAACCUGGCGCGGCUGAGUCCUCAAGAAAGGGCAACAGUGGCAGUCUCUGCUACAAAGAUCCACCAAGCGCUGACACGUGAAACGUACAUCAUGGUCACUGUGGACAGGUUCAGAGAGCUGCGGUAUCAGAUCCUCCUCUGUUGGGGCCAUUUUGCUGAGGGCUGAUGAUUAUAGCCGAUUAUAGAGAAGGGGACCACGCCAUAUGUCUGAGUUGGUAACCCAGAUACAAACUAAAUGUCAUCUCGACAUUGUAUCAUUGAAGAAAAAUAGCUGCUUCGUUGACACACGCCAAGCAUAUGACAAUAGAGACAGAUGGCUGAAAGAAUGCAUGGAUGUCAACAUCAGCCUGAACAGGGGCAGCUAGAAUACCAUCUGUGGGACCUCGUUUCAGGUGUUGAAGCUACCAAGUCACUGCUGGCUGGCAAGAUGACACUCUUUCUGGUUCUGGCAUGGUUAUCGCAGCCUCUAAUAAUGGACAUGGAGCUGGAACCGCUGUCCAUGUACUACACUUCAAAGAAGUUGGUGGACCAGCAGCUGCUGACUGACAGGGUUAUGCAAACCUAUCCAAUAUCCGAUGUGCUGGGUGGUUGCACACAGCUGCAACUUCAGCAGUGUUGGAAUGUGCAGACACUUUUCAUUUGGGGUGAUCGACUGAUCACUAUUAACAGCUUGUUGCACAACAGGGUGUGUCUAUUUGUAUUGGUGACACACUGUUUGAUGUCUUCCCUCAUGGUGUAUAACAAUCAAGUCUGAAGUGCACUGUGCUACUCUCAGGAAAGUGAAAAAACAACUUAAGCAUGUUUGCCACCACAACAAUUCAAACAAACUUCUUCUUCAUGACAAUGCGAGGCAAACACAAGUCUGCACAACAGACAGGAGCUGACAGAAUUCAUUGGAUUGUUCUUCCUCAUCCAUGCUGCAGGCCCGACCUUGUACCUACUGACUUCCAACUGUAUGGCUUAAUGAAGGCUGCACUCUACAGGAAACAGUAUGUGGAUGAUGGGGACGUUACUGACGCAGUAAGAUGGCGGCUCCUACAUCGACCGGUAGUGUAGUACCAUGCAUGAUGCUGACCUUCCCAGUAAGAUGGCGUAAGGCAGUCACAUUGCACAGAGAUUAUGUUUAAAAAUAAGGUUUUGUAGCCGAAAGAGCGGGGAAUAAUAUGGUGUAUUGGAAUCUUGAAUAAAACCAAGCUUCUUUCAGCAAAAAAGUGUUUUAUCUACUGAACAUCCCUUGUACAUGAUUGCGUGAUACAUUGUGUAGCUUAAGGCUGUGCCGCUUCCAUGUUUAUGUUAGUGAAAAAGAGUUACAGAACUAGGUACAAACCUAAUACAAUGUCGAACCGAGAUGUGUUGUGAAUAUUGAAGCUGAAUUUGCAAAUGCACAUCCAAAAGAAAUCUGUCUGUUUCAUAUUUGCAUUUGUAGGAAUUUUUAUCCGUCUCGGAUUAAAUACACUUAAUCAAAGAGGAUGUGAGAUAUAACCUUGGUUAGAUCAUUCAUAAUAGCCAAAACUCGCCACAGAAUAUCUAGGCUAAUCAGAACUGGUGGGUUCAGAGCCUGAUAUAGAUGUAGUAGGGGACAUAAAGGAGUCUUCUACAUCCACUCAUGAAAUCGAACCACAACAGUAUAGAUCCCGUAAUGGAGGAGGAGAGGUAAAGAUACCAACAUUAGGGAUGAUUUGUGCUAUGAUGGCAUCAAGUGUUAUAUGAGGCACAUAACUAUGACAUAAUCUAUUAUGAACCUGUACGUAGAUAAUGCCUUAACAAAAGUUAUUUGGAAACAGGGGGACUUGUGAAAGUGAACCUGAGAUUCAUGUACCUAUCUUACUGGUUAGUAACUGCAGAAUACUGGGAACAUUAGGCACCAGGUCUUGGAAAGUAGUCAAUCCUGCCUUCCAAUAAGGCUAGGGAAUGUAAAGAUUCCAUGCACGAUGCUGCUGGUAAAUUAACUUGAGUGUGGACUGCAUAAUAGAUAGGAAUGCAACAGUCAACGUCUCUCAGGGGAAAUGCCUGUUAGUGAUUAAUAGUAGCCUAUAAAGGUGGAGAUAGAUUUGUUAAAGUGAACAUAGAACAUGGCAAAUACUAUCAAAGCCUGAAAAUCGAAAUGUUAGGCAGAGAGUUAAAAUGCAUCGUUAAGGGGAACGACAGGGUGACGGUCGGAAAAACUCGAAUUUUUUUAAAUUACGGAAUUCAAAUGUAUGUACAUUGAAGCAUUAUUCCCCAAAAUAUUAUGUGGGAACUCCUAAAAGUAACGGUUCUGUGAGCGUUUGAAGUUAAAGCAAAUGGUGAAUUUCAAAGUUAUAAGCGUGAAACGCCAUUGCCAGAAGUCAUCAUCGAUGCCAUCACCCCUAUUUAUACCGAUCUGAGUAAACCUGAUUUGCUGGAGCUUUGUUUGGACAGUUUUACUCAAAAUGUGAACGAAAGUUUCAAUAGUAUCACUUGAAGAUACACUCCGAAAAUAGCGUCCAGCCGUAGGGGAAUUGUCUACAUUGCUUCAAAUUUGGCCUCUGUCUAUUCAAUGUGGGCCGUACUGCAUUAAUGCAUGUGUUGAAUGCCCUUCAAAUCAAAAUCGGCGAUGAAAUGCGCCGAUUCUGCGAUCCGCUCAGUGAUGAAAAGGGCUCUGAGGACGAAAAUGAGGCCUUAUCAGGUCAAAGUAGCAGAAAGUGGCCAUCCACUAGCCGGGGCGAUAGUUACUAUGGACCAGGCAUCGAUGAUAUCCCGUAGGUUUUAAGCUUCGCCCUUUUUUAUAUGAUAAAUUCUUGUCAAACUUCAAACAGAUUUUUCUUAAAAGUGCUUUUCGGUAGGCCUGUCGUCGCCCACACUACAAUUUCCAUCCAAUUUGAAUGAUUUUUGGUCUCCCUUUAAGAAAAUUGAAUUUUCUUCAGUUCAUCAAAGCCGAUUUCUUUUUUGGUCAAAAAAGAGUGGUCCAAAAAUGGCCAUUGUUCCCAAAUACUGGUAUCUAUAACU